rnacentral:rRNA from 1 species
GACGAACGCUGGCGGCGCGCUUAACACAUGCAAGUCGAGCGGAAAGGCCCUUCGGGGUACUCGAGCGGCGAACGGGUGAGUAACACGUGAGUAACCUGCCCCAGACUUUGGGAUAACCCUCGGAAACGGGGGCUAAUACCGGAUACGACACAGCUUCGCAUGGGGUCUGUGUGGAAAGUUUUUCGGUUUGGGAUGGGCUCGCGGCCUAUCAGCUUGUUGGUGGGGUGAUGGCCUACCAAGGCGACGACGGGUAGCCGGCCUGAGAGGGCGACCGGCCACACUGGGACUGAGACACGGCCCAGACUCCUACGGGAGGCAGCAGUGGGGAAUAUUGCACAAUGGGCGGAAGCCUGAUGCAGCGACGCCGCGUGAGGGAUGACGGCCUUCGGGUUGUAAACCUCUUUCAGCAGGGACGAAGCGUAAGUGACGGUACCUGCAGAAGAAGCGCCGGCCAACUACGUG